UACGUAGGGUGCGAGCGUUAAUCGGAAUUACUGGGCGUAAAGCGUGCGCAGGCGGUUUUGUAAGCCAGAUGUGAAAUCCCCGGGCUUAACCUGGGAAUGGCAUUUGGGACUGCAAGGCUGGAGUGCGGCAGAGGAGACUGGAAUUCCUGGUGUAGCAGUGAAAUGCGUAGAUAUCAGGAGGAAUACCGGUGGCGAAGGCGGGUCUCUGGGCCGAUACUGACGCUGAGGAGCGAAAGCGUGGGGAGCGAACAGG
rnacentral:rRNA from 1 species